AAGGUGGAGCAGUAAAGGUUUGGAAGGUGGAGCAGUAAAGGGUUUGAAGGUGGAGCAGUAAAGGGUUUGAAGGUGGAGCAGUAAAGGGUUAGAAGGUGGAGCAGUAAAGGGUUUGAAGGUGGAGCAGUAAAGGUUUGGAAGGUGGAGCAGUAAAGGGUUUGAAGGUGGAGCAGUAAAGGGUUUGAAGGUGGAGCAGUAAAGGGUUUGAAGGUGGAGCAGUAAAGGGUUAGAAGGUGGAGCAGUAAAGGGUUUGAAGGUGGAGCAGUAAAGGGUUUGAAGGUGGAGCAGUAAAGGGUUUGAAGGUGGAGCAGUAAAGGUUUGGAAGGUGGAGCAGUAAAGGG